UUCCUGCAAUAUCGAAUAAUUUAAAACAUUAUGAAAUCAUAUUUGCAAAGAUAAGAGACAAAUUGUAUAAUUAUUAUGCAUUUUAGGAAGCAAUUCAGAUCCAGGAACAAAGACCUCAAGGUUACACCAGAGGGAUCUGCAACUCAUGAUGAAGAGGUAAAGGGCCCUAUGGCCUCAGGCACCUCGGCCAAACUACAGGAUUAGGAUUAGGAUCUGCCUUAAAAUUCGCUUAGUUUCCCAAGUUAGUUGCUGGCAUUAUCAAGUCGCAAUAGAAACAACAAGACAAAAACCAUUAAGAGAUGAUUGUUCUUCAAGCAAUUUUUUUUAAUAAAAUAUUUCACUAAUUUGUGAA